rnacentral:rRNA from 2 species
AUCCGGGUUGCGGACAGUGUCUGGUGGGUAGUUUGACUGGGGCGGUCUCCUCCUAAAGAGUAACGGAGGAGCACGAAGGUUGGCUAAUCCUGGUCGGACAUCAGGAGGUUAGUGCAAUGGCAUAAGCCAGCUUGACUGCGAGCGUGACGGCGCGAGCAGGUGCGAAAGCAGGUCAUAGUGAUCCGGUGGUUCUGAAUGGAAGGACCAUCGCUCAACGGAUAAAAGGUACUCCGGGGAUAACAGGCUGAUACCGCCCAAGAGUUCAUAUCGACGGCGGUGUUUGGCACCUCGAUGUCGGCUCAUCACAUCCUGGGGCUGAAGUAGGUCCCAAGGGUAUGGCUGUUCGCCAUUUAAAGUGGUACGCGAGCUGGGUUUAGAACGUCGUGAGACAGUUCGGUCCCUAUCUGCCGUGGGCGCUGGAGAACUGAGGGGGGCUGCUCCUAGUACGAGAGGACCGGAGUGGACGCAUCACUGGUGUUCGGGUUGUCAUGCCAAUGGCACUGCCCGGUAGCUAAAUGCGGAAGAGAUAAGUGCUGAAAGCAUCUAAGCACGAAACUUGCCCCGAGAUGAGUUCUCCCUGACCCUUUAAGGUCCUGAAGGAACGUUGAAGACGACGACGUUGAUAGGCCGGGUGUGUAAGCGCAGCGAUGCGUUGAGCUAACCGGUACUAAUGAACCGUGAGGCUUAACCUU